ensembl:lncRNA
AGGAAACUGUUACGUUGGUAGACCUCAGCAAGCUGCCACCUGGUAUUCACUCUUGUGUGGUCCGGUAAUCCCCUCACCUUGAUUCUAGAAUGAUGCUACGGCCAGCUUUAAUCAACAAGACGUGGUGAAAGUGACACCAUGCUAAUUCCAGUCCCCACUUAGAAACUAGGCAGGUUUUGCACUCUGGUGAUUCCUGUGACACCUUAUAGGAAAUUCAGCUAAUUCAGCCAUGCUGCUGCAAAAAUAAAGUAAAAUAACAGAGAGAGGCCAUGUGGAAAGGGAGAGUCCCUGAGAUUACUCAGAGAGCAGCCAAGAUGUCCCAGCUGAGCUCAUUCUCCAAUCUGUUCACUGGCUGGAUGCAGCACACAAGCAACCAUUAGCAAGACCAGCAGAAGAACCACCCAGCUAAUCACAGCCAGAGUGCAGAAUGGUGAGCAAACAAAACAGUUUUUAUGAGUCAAUCACUUCUAUAAUGCUCUAUUAUAAAACGGUAGGAACCAGGAACACCUGGUCUGUGUGCUUGGCUCUUAUUUCCCUAGGAUAAAUAUCUGCCCCAGUUUGCUUAGGAAUUAAAAAAUUUCCAAGACACAGGACUUUUAGUACUAACAUUGGGAAGGCUCUGAGCAAAUUCAGUUGAGUCCUACUUCCAACACUCUAAGUAAACAGAAUUUUACUUCUGAAAGAUACUUUUUUUUUUUUAAUUCACCGUUUAGUCAACAUUCAAUGAAAAACGUUAUGCUCAAAAACCAGUAAUUUGAGUGACCUCCCUCAAACAGGGGCCUUUGGGGCUGUGAUGGUUAUAAUACUGAGUGUCAACUCGAUUGGAUUGAACGAUACAAAGUUUUUAUCCUGGGUGUGUCUAUGAGGGUGUUGCCAAAGGAGAUUAACAUUUGAGUCAGUGGGCUCAGAAAAGCAGACCCAUCCUUAAUCCAGGUGGACACAGUCUAAUCAGCUGUCAGUGUGACUAGAAUAUAAAGCAGGCAGGAAAAUGUACAAAGAGAGACUGGCCUAGCCUCCCAGCCUACAUCUUUCUCCCGUGCUGGGUACUUCCUGCCCUUGAACAUUGGACUCCAAGGUCUUCAGUUUUGGAACUCAGACUGGCUCUCUUUGCUUCUCAGCCUGCAGAUUGCCUAUUGUGGGACCUGUGAUCAUAUGGCCAACAUGCUGCUGCUGGGAGCCAUCUCCAGGGAGAUCAGGGAAUUAGGUGGCGAUGGCAGGAGGAGCUCCUAUUUCUGUUACUUUCAGUGUAACUGCAACAGCUCAGCAUUAAAGCUCAGGCCUAAAGAGGGUUCAGUGGCCUAAUCUCAGAGGAAAUCUGUUGUGCAUGGAAUCAUGUCCCCUAAAAAGAUAUGUUGAAGUCCUAACCCCAGGUCCCUGUGAAUAUGACCUUAUUUGGAAACAGGAUCUUCCAGACAUAAGUUGAGAGGAAGCCAUACUGGAGUAGGGUAGUCCCGUAAUGCAAUAUGAUUGAUGUUCUUAGGAGAGAAGAAACAUGGAUACAGACACAAACACCAUGUGGAGACAGCCAUAGGGGGAAGGAGGCCAUGCGAUGAUGGAGCAGAGAUUGGAGUUAACAGUUGCUUGCCAGGGAAUGCUGUGGAUUGCCGUCAGCCACAGGAGUGAGGAGAGGGGGCAUGUCCAUGCUGACUCCUUGAUCUUGGACUUCUGACCUCCAGAACUGUUAAUUAAUAAAUGUCUGUUGUUCUAAGCCACCCAGUUUGUGGCACUGUAAUGGCAAGCCUGUAUUAGAAAACUAAUAUGGAAUCCAACCUGUUUCUUCUCAAAACAGUGCAUCUCCAAAAAUUCAUCCCCCAAUCCAAAUGACUACACAGAUCUCCAAAAACAAGACCUUCAUUAGUUGGAACAGCCUAUGUUCAUCUGUUGCUGUCUCUUGAAACAAUGUAUUUUUUAAGUGUAUGAUUUGUCCAUAUUUUCCUUCUUAAUUUAGUGGAAAAAUCAGUUGCUUUUCAACAAGCCUGUUUCCAUUUGGAUUCUUGGGAUGCAGAGGCUGAGAUGGAGUUUGCGUAUGCAUUGAUUACAGAUCAAUGAACCUGUGACAGGAAGUGGGGGAAACAGCUGGCAUAGGAAGAAGUCUAGUCCAGCAGGGGCUCCAUCCUGAGCAUUGCCCAUAGAGUGUCCCUAUCUGGCUGACGUGGCUGAGCCUUUAUCCCCUGCCCACCAAUCACCCCAAUACAUGUAGCAUAAGGAGGAGCAUGAGCACAACUGCUGCAGCCAACCCAGAAGAUGCUGGCGGGUGGAGAUGGAGGCUGCUGCUGACUGUUGAAGUGGCAUCAGGGUAGCGGGCUAGUCCCCUGCUCUCUGUGGUUCCAAUGUAGAGAUCUGAGCACAUAGUAGGCGUGUGUUUCUCAGUUCUCCUCCCCAAAAUAGCAUCUUCUGUUUUUUUCACCCUCCCAUAUUUUCAUGCCUUGUACCUACACUGAGAUGUUUCUGAAGGUAUCUUAAUACUGUCACAGCCAUACUCUCAAAGCUCAGACUUUUACAGUUGAACAUGGGCCAUUUGCCUCUAAGUGAUGAAGUUAAUUAUAGGCACCUGUAUUGUCAUGUUUCUCCACUCUACAGCUAUCUGCUUCCCAAUUAUAAUAAAGAAGAAGGAAACUUGUAAGGAGAUACUUUGAGACUAUGCAAAUAUCUUGUCUCUUGUCAAACUCUACGCUUCCCACUUGAGCAUGCAUGACGAUUCCUGCCUAAAUCUCUUAUCAUGAUGAUGGCUUGUAAAGGGCGAUUUUCUAAUUCCAUCAUUGCUACUGUGUUG